UACGGGGGGGGCAAGCGUUGUUCGGAAUUACUGGGCGUAAAGAGCUCGUAGGCGGUUUGUCGCGUCGACUGUGAAAACUGGGGGCUUAACUCUCAGCUUGCAGUUGAUACGGGCAGACUUGAGUUCGGUAGGGGAGACUGGAAUUCCUGGUGUAGCGGUGAAAUGCGCAGAUAUCAGGAGGAACACCGGUGGCGAAGGCGGGUCUCUGGGCCGAAACUGACGCUGAGGAGCGAAAGCGUGGGGAGCAAACAGG
rnacentral:rRNA from 1 species